AGAAAAAUAGAAGAUGGUGCUGUUGUCCUCUCUUUGGUGAUCUAGCUGUAUGAGUGUAAAACGACAUCAUAAAGCUAGAUUACCGAAGUCAGGAAAACAGUAUAUUCAACUGAUUUACUUU
rnacentral:precursor_RNA from 12 species